UUCUUCUUCUUUUUUUUCUCAACCCUCUUUCAGAGAGAUGGUCGAAGAGAGGUUCUUUUUCUGAGAUCAUCCUGCAAAAGGGGUAGUCAAGAAAAUUAAUUCAUUCUUUGAUUUUAAUUAAUCAAUUCAAUAUUUUUUCUUCAUUUUGUUGAAAAUUUUGACGUCAAUUUCUUGUGUUUUGAUGACUUUUGGAGUCUCAAAUCAUCCAUUAAAACCUUUGUUUCAUCAUUAGCU
rnacentral:lncRNA from 1 species